rnacentral:sRNA from 1 species
ACAAAGCAUAAGCAAGCAAGGUAGUUUUCUCAGCCAAUUUCUCUUACUGACAGGAAGCAAUUUG